rnacentral:tRNA from 2 species
GCGACUGUAGCUCAAUUGGAUAGAGCGUUGGCCUCCGAAGCCGAAGGUUGUGGGUUCGAACCCCGUCAGUCGCACCA